rnacentral:rRNA from 1 species
CACGUAGGAGGCGAGCGUUGUCCGGAAUCAUUGGGCGUAAAGAGCGCGCAGGCGGCUCGGCAAGUCGGGUGUGAAAUCCCGGGGCUCAACCCCGGGACUGCAUCCGAUACUGUCGGGCUAGAGGUAGGUAGGGGAGAUCGGAAUUCCUGGUGUAGCGGUGAAAUGCGCAGAUAUCAGGAGGAACACCGGUGGCGAAGGCGGAUCUCUGGGCCUUACCUGACGCUCAGGCGCGAAAGCUAGGGGAGCGAACAGGAUUAGAAACCCUAGUAGUCC